UUGGUUAAGGCUGGCGAUUCGU
rnacentral:siRNA from 1 species